rnacentral:rRNA from 1 species
GCUCUCGGGUGACGAGCGGCGGACGGGUGAGUAAUGUCUGGGAAACUGCCUGAUGGAGGGGGAUAACUACUGGAAACGGUAGCUAAUACCGCAUAAUGUCGCAAGACCAAAGUGGGGGACCUUCGGGCCUCAUGCCAUCAGAUGUGCCCAGAUGGGAUUAGCUAGUAGGUGGGGUAACGGCUCACCUAGGCGACGAUCCCUAGCUGGUCUGAGAGGAUGACCAGCCACACUGGAACUGAGACACGGUCCAGACUCCUACGGGAGGCAGCAGUGGGGAAUAUUGCACAAUGGGCGCAAGCCUGAUGCAGCCAUGCCGCGUGUGUGAAGAAGGCCUUCGGGUUGUAAAGCACUUUCAGCGGGGAGGAAGGCGUUAAGGUUAAUAACCUUGGCGAUUGACGUUACCCGCAGAAGAAGCACCGGCUAACUCCGUGCCAGCAGCCGCGGUAAUACGGAGGGUGCAAGCGUUAAUCGGAAUUACUGGGCGUAAAGCGCACGCAGGCGGUCUGUCAAGUCGGAUGUGAAAUCCCCGGGCUCAACCUGGGAACUGCAUUCGAAACUGGCAGGCUAGAGUCUUGUAGAGGGGGGGUAGAAUUCCAGGUGUAGCGGUGAAAUGCGUAGAGAUCUGGAGGAAUACCGGUGGCGAAGGCGGCCCCCUGGACAAAGACUGACGCUCAGGUGCGAAAGCGUGGGGAGCAAACAGGAUUAGAUACCCUGGUAGUCCACGCCGUAAACGAUGUCGAUUUGGAGGUUGUGCCCUUGAGGCGUGGCUUCCGGAGCUAACGCGUUAAAUCGACCGCCUGGGGAGUACGGCCGCAAGGUUAAAACUCAAAUGAAUUGACGGGGGCCCGCACAAGCGGUGGAGCAUGUGGUUUAAUUCGAUGCAACGCGAAGAACCUUACCUGGUCUUGACAUCCACAGAACUUUCCAGAGAUGGAUUGGUGCCUUCGGGAACUGUGAGACAGGUGCUGCAUGGCUGUCGUCAGCUCGUGUUGUGAAAUGUUGGGUUAAGUCCCGCAACGAGCGCAACCCUUAUCCUUUGUUGCCAGCGGUUCGGCCGGGAACUCAAAGGAGACUGCCAGUGAUAAACUGGAGGAAGGUGGGGAUGACGUCAAGUCAUCAUGGCCCUUACGACCAGGGCUACACACGUGCUACAAUGGCAUAUACAAAGAGAAGCGACCUCGCGAGAGCAAGCGGACCUCAUAAAGUAUGUCGUAGUCCGGAUUGGAGUCUGCAACUCGACUCCAUGAAGUCGGAAUCGCUAGUAAUCGUAGAUCAGAAUGCUACGGUGAAUACGUUCCCGGGCCUUGUACACACCGCCCGUCACACCAUGGGAGUG